GGGUGCGUAACACGUGGGUAAUCUGCCCUUCGAAGGGGAAUAACUCGCCGAAAGGCGAGCUAAUUCCGCAUAACAUUCCGAGAACCUUGGUUUUUGGAUUCAAAGGCGUAAGUCGUCGGAGGAGGAGCCCGCGCACGAUUAGCUAGUUGGUAGGGUAACGGUCUACCAAGGCUAUGAUCGUUAGCUGGUCUGAGAGGAUGGCCAGCCACACUGGAACUGAGACACGGUCCAGACUCCUACGGGAGGCAGCAGUGGGGA
rnacentral:rRNA from 1 species